UUCAGCCUGAGCGGGUUCCGCACCGAUCUGGGUGAUAGAUCAAUGACGUUGUAUGCCUCUAUUAUUGUUAGAGCAUGUAACGUCAACCAACAGUAAAAACAUCAUUAAGCCAACUUAGGUUUACCGAGUGCACUCAAUCGAGUUCGUUACAGUUCGCUAUAAUGAACGAUCAUAGAGACAAAAGGAUAAUUAGAGGCGCCCAGAUAAAAUGUUUUGUACGAUGCCAGUAUAACGCAUACAUGCGUGCAUGUUGUCGAUUGAUAUCCAGCUAACUUCUCAUCUGACGAAUAUCUGACAGCAACAUUUGCACGUUGUGCGAAUUUUGUACUUGUAAAACGCCAAUAAAUGCGAGGCGUGCGAGAGAUUAUUUGGACGGUUAAUUAAAGCGUAUAAAAACGUGCAAACCAAACGCAACCUUGACAAAUCGCGAAUAUCAGCCGACAGGCGGCGCGUUGUCAACGGCAGUCAACUGCAGUCAACGUAGUUGGCCGAGCUGCACAACGAGCGAACCGGGAAUCAACGGGAACGAGUGCUGUCUCUGAAACAUCACUGGCUGAGUGAACCCUGUGACACGAACCCGUGUUGGAAACCAAGGCUAAUACAAAUUACAAAGGAAGAACGAGCGAGCGAAGUGUACCGUUGUUGACACUGUUGACAGCGGUCAACAGCGAUUAACGAGCGGAGUACGAACGCGUUCUGCCUUGCGCAUUUAGUCGUUUAGUGGUCGUGAAUCUCGGAAGAUGCCGCAGCCUCACGGACGACCGAUUUAACUUGAUUUAGCUGCGGACGGAGAAACGGCCUACGCCAGACGUCGUGAUUCGGAUGCGACUUGAAUGCGACGUGGAAGAGACUCGGCCAGGAAGAGAACUCGCUCAACCGGGAAGAGGAGCCUCCACGUUGAUAGGCCACUACACGCCAAGAGGGCACGGCGGAUUACCGUCACGUCGGAAAUCUGCGACAAACGCUAGAAUUUAUGCUGUAAAUCUACAGAGCUACAGAGGAAGAUAUCGUUAUGGAUACUAAUUCUAAAUGUGAAAGUAAUAAAAAUACAAAGAAAUGUUUAAAAAGUCAACUGGAAGACGUCAAA